GAAGGCCGGUGACGUCGAACGCUGGAGCCUGUCUGCUGCAGGGGGAGGUGAAGCAGCAGAGGGCGCCGUUGUCACACUAGCCGUGUUACACAGUCAGGUAAUUUGUAUUCAUUAUUUACGUGUCUAAUUAUUUGUUCAGGCAAGAAACAAAUGUGGUUUAACCUGAAAUUCUUUACAGUAAACGCAAGCUCUCAGGUAAAAAUAAUCUGUAUUUACGAGCGAAGGGGGAAACCCAUAAUCUAGACUGUAGCUAGCUACACUAGAGGUACAGUACACUAUUCGCAGUUAGCCAAUUUUGGUAUUUCAUAGGAUUUGAGUGCAAAGUAUUUUAAUUUUGAAUGGCACGUUUUACCAGUUGACAGUUAUGUGAUAGAAGAAUGUGAUGGAAUUAUAUUUUUCAGUGGUUUAUGAAUUUAUUUUAUUCAGGAGAAUAUUGAAGAAAAUUGGAAUGGAGGAGCGGUGGGCAGGCUACUCCUUGAAGGGCAGGAUGUAGAAUGCUGUCGCACGUGCUGCCCUGAAAGCUUACCCAAAGCCCACCUACCUAGAGGUAGAUGAAAAGAUUGCAGAAACCCUCAAGCAUGCACCUGCUCGGCUGAAGAGUAAGAGAAAGGAGCAGAUGGAGCAAGAUGUUGAGGAGGGCACAGAUGAAGAACCAGCACCUGAAUAAAUAAGACUUCUUACCAACUUUAGUGUUGUUUAAAUAAAUUGCUCAAGCAGUACCAACAAGUUCAAUGAUUCAAGUCUUUAUUCACUGAGGUCAGGGGAGGUUCCAACACAUUGUAUACCAAACCAUACAUGCAGAGUCCAAAUCAGUAGCAAUAGUUUAACAUCCUUUCUCAUACAAUUUCAUACAAUUUGUUAUAACAUGAUUAGUUAAAAAUAUUUUGUAUACUCCGAAGAUAAGGAAUAGAAUUUCCAUCAUCACAGUA